GACGAACGCUGGCGGCGUGCUUAACACAUGCAAGUCGAGCGGAAAGGCCCUUCGGGGUACUCGAGCGGCGAACGGGUGAGUAACACGUGAGUAACCUGCCCCAGACUUUGGGAUAACCCUCGGAAACGGGGGCUAAUACCGGAUACGACACAGCUUCGCAUGGGGUCUGUGUGGAAAGUUUUUCGGUUUGGGAUGGGCUCGCGGCCUAUAGCUUGUUGGUGGGGUGAUGGCCUACCAAGGCGACGACGGGUAGCCGGCCUGAGAGGGCGACCGGCCACACUGGGACUGAGACACGGCCCAGACUCCUACGGGAGGCAGCAGUGGGGAAUAUUGCACAAUGGGCGGAAGCCUGAUGCAGCGACGCCGCGUGAGGGAUGACGGCCUUCGGGUCGUAAACCUCUUUCAGCAGGGACGAAGCGUAAGUGACGGUACCUGCAGAAGAAGCGCCGGCCAACUACGUG
rnacentral:rRNA from 1 species